AAAUGCGUAGAGAUCUGGAGGAACACCGAUGGCGAAGGCAGCNNNNNGGGCUAACACUGACNNNCAUGCACGAAAGCGUGGGGAGCAAACAGGAUUAGAUACCCUGGUAGUCCACGCCCUAAACGAUGUCAACUGGUUGUCGGGGAAGCAAUUCCUUGGUAACGAAGCUAACGCGUGAAGUUGACCGCCUGGGGAGUACGGCCGCAAGGUUAAAACUCAAAGGAAUUGACGGGGACCCGCACAAGCGGUGGAUUAUGUGGAUCAAUUCGAUGCAACGCGAAAAACCUUACCUACCCUUGACAUGUACGGAACCCUUCAGAAAUGGAGGGGUGCCCGAAAGGGAGCCGUAACACAGGUGCUGCAUGGNNGUCGUCAGCUCGUGUCGUGAGAUGUUGGGUUAAGUCCCGCAACGAGCGCAACCCUUGCCNNUAGUUGCUACAUUCGGUUGGGCACUCUAAUGGGACUGCCGGUGACAAACCGGAGGAAGGUGGGGAUGACGUCAAGUCCUCAUGGCCCUUAUGGGUAGGGCUUCACACGUAAUACAAUGGCCGGUACAGAGGGCUGCCAACCCGCGAGGGGGAGCUAAUCCCAGAAAGCCGGUCGUAGUCCGGAUUGUUCUCUGCAACUCGAGAGCAUGAAGUCGGAAUCGCUGGUAAUCGCGGAUCAGCAUGUCGCGGUGAAUACGUUCCCGGGUCUUGUACACACCGCCCGUCACACCAUGGGAGUGGGUUUCA
rnacentral:rRNA from 1 species